CUGAAUCCAAUUCAAUUGGACUUGAUCCAAAAAUAAUUACUCAAUCAAAUUGAGUUAAUUAGUGAUCAAAUCACUAAUUAAAUCUCUCAUAAAUACUGAGUCCAAAUCUGAUGGGCAAUCAGGCAUCAGAAUUCAUCGAUAUGAAACCCUGAUCGAAAAGUCCCAAACCAGUGGGACUUUUGACCCCGGUACCCAAAAUGUGUGGAACUCAUGAUCAGAGAAUCUUGAUUCUCGAUCACAGAAUCCCAGACACUUAUGACUCUUCACUAGCCA
rnacentral:lncRNA from 1 species